CCCUGUAGCGCAAUGGAUAGCUCGUUGGACUUGUAGUCCAGAAGACGUGGGUUCGAAUCCUAUCUGGAAGG